rnacentral:rRNA from 1 species
AUUGAACGCUGGCGGCAGGCCUAACACAUGCAAGUCGAACGAGUGGCGGACGGGUGAGUAAUGUCUGGGAAACUGCCUGAUGGAGGGGGAUAACUACUGGAAACGGUAGCUAAUACCGCAUACCAAACGAGGUGCACAGAUGGGCUUAGCUAGUUGGUGGGGUAACGGCUCACCAAGGAGACGAUCCCUAGCUGGUCUGAGAGGAUGACCAGGCACACUGGAACGGAGACACGGUCGAGACUCCUACGGGAGGCAGCAGUGGGGAAUAUUGCACAAUGGGCGCAAGCCUGAUGCAGCCAUGCCGCGUGUAUGAAGAAGGCCUUCGGGUUGUAAAGUACUUUCAGCGGGGAGGCGUUACCCGCAGAAGAAGCACCGGCUAACUCCGUGCCAGCCGCCGCGGUAAUAC